CCUAACACAUGCAAGUCGAACGGUAACAGGAAACAGCUUGCUGUUUCGCUGACGAGUGGCGGACGGGUGAGUAAUGUCUGGGAAACUGCCUGAUGGAGGGGGAUAACUACUGGAAACGGUAGCUAAUACCGCAUAACGUCGCAAGACCAAAGAGGGGGACCUUCGGGCCUCUUGCCAUCAGAUGUGCCCAGAUGGGAUUAGCUAGUAGGUGGGGUAACGGCUCACCUAGGCGACGAUCCCUAGCUGGUCUGAGAGGAUGACCAGCCACACUGGAACUGAGACACGGUCCAGACUCCUACGGGAGGCAGCAGUGGGGAAUAUUGCACAAUGGGCGCAAGCCUGAUGCAGCCAUGCCGCGUGUAUGAAG
rnacentral:rRNA from 1 species